rnacentral:rRNA from 1 species
AGCGAACGCUGGCGGCAGGCUUAACACAUGCAAGUCGAACGGUCCUUCGGGAUAGUGGCGGACGGGUGAGUAACACGUGGGAACGUACCCUUAGGUUCGGAACAACACAGGGAAACUUGUGCUAAUACCGGAUAAGCCCUUCGGGGGAAAGAUUUAUCGCCUUUGGAGCGGCCCGCGUCUGAUUAGCUUGUUGGUGAGGUAAUGGCUCACCAAGGCUACGAUCAGUAGCUGGUCUGAGAGGAUGGCCAGCCACACUGGGACUGAGACACGGCCCAGACUCCUACGGGAGGCAGCAGUGGGGAAUCUUGCGCAAUGGGCGAAAGCCUGACGCAGCCAUGCCGCGUGGAUGAUGAAGGUCUUAGGGUUGUAAAAUCCUUUCACCGGGGACGAUAAUGACGGUACCCGGAGAAGAAGCCCCGGCUAACUUCGUGCCAGCAGCCGCAGUAA